rnacentral:rRNA from 1 species
AUGGGAUCGUUUCCUUCCUCUAAUGGGUAUACACAUAUUUUAGUUACUGUUGAUUACGUUACUAAGUGGGUAGAAGCUAUUCCAACUAGUAGUGCUGAUCAUAAUACCUCUAUUAAGAUGCUUAAAGAAGUUAUUUUUCCGAGGUUUGGAGUCCCUAGAUAUUUAAUGACUGAUGGUGGUUCACAUUUUAUUCAUGGUGCUUUUCGUAAAAUGCUUGCUAAGUAUGACGUUAAUCAUAGAAUUGUAUCUCCAUAUCACCCACAGUCUAGUGGCCAAGUAGAACUGAGUAACAUAGAGCUUAAAUUGAUUUUGCAAAAGACUGUUAAUAGAUCUAGAAAGAAUUGGUCCAAGAAACUUGAUGAUGCAUUGUGGGCUUAUAGAACUGCAUAUAAAGAUCCUAUGGGUAUGUUUCCAUAUAAAAUGGUUUAUGGAAAAGCAUGUCACUUACCUCUCGAACUAGAACAUAAGGCAUAUUGGGCCAAGAGCUUAAUUACAAUUUCAAACUUGCCGAUGAGAAGAGGUUAUUUGAUAUUAGCUCACUUGAUGAAUGGAGAACUCAAGCCUAUGAGAAUGCCAAACUGUUUAAAGAAAAAGUUAAAAGAUGUCAUGACAAAAGGAUACAAAAGCGUUAGUUUAAUGUAG